rnacentral:rRNA from 1 species
UACGUAGGUCCCGAGCGUUGUCCGGAUUUAUUGGGCGUAAAGCGAGCGCAGGUGGUUUAUUAAGUCUGGUGUAAAAGGCAGUGGCUCAACCAUUGUAUGCAUUGGAAACUGGUAGACUUGAGUGCAGGAGAGGAGAGUGGAGUUCCAUGUGUAGCGGUGAAAUGCGUAGAUAUAUGGAGGAACACCGGUGGCGAAAGCGGCUCUCUGGCCUGUAACUGACGCUGAGGCUCGAAAGCGUGGGGAGCAAACAGG